rnacentral:rRNA from 1 species
UACGUAGGGCGCAAGCGUUGUCCGGAAUCAUUGGGCGUAAAGAGCUCGUAGGCGGCCUGUUGCGUCCGCUGUGAAAUCCCGGGGCUUAACCCCGGGCGUGCAGUGGAUACGGGCUGGCUGGAGGCAGGCAGGGGAGAACGGAAUUCCCGGUGUAGCGGUGAAAUGCGCAGAUAUCGGGAGGAACACCGGUGGCGAAGGCGGUUCUCUGGGCCUGUACUGACGCUGAGGAACGAAAGCGUGGGUAGCGAACAGG